CGGGCUUGAUCGAAUAGUCGGUCGCCGGACAGUCAUGCACAGAUGUUCUCCUGGCGUAUCCUUUUGCUGCAGAUGUUCCCUCCCUCAUCUGCAUGCGAUGCGCCCUCCUGGCCCCGCUCGCCUUACAUGGCAAGCGGGGCUUUUU
rnacentral:sRNA from 1 species